UACAUAGGGGCAAGCGUUAUCCGGAUUACUGGGUGUAAGGGUACGUAGGCGGCCCAUUAAGUCAGAUGUGAAAGCCCCGGAGCUCAACUCCGGGAUUGCAUUUGAAACUGGUGGGCUAGAGUACAGGAGGAGGAAAGUGGAAUUCCUAGUGUAGCGGUGAAAUGCGUAGAUAUUAGGAAGAACACCAGUGGCGAAGGCGGCUUUCUGGACUGUAACUGACGCUGAGGUACGAAAGCGUGGGGAGCGAACAGGAUUAGAUACCCCUGUAGU
rnacentral:rRNA from 1 species